UGCCCCUCCUUCCACCGUGACCAGUGAGUCCUGAGAGGAGGCUGUGUGACACAGAUGUUCCAUUUAUUCUUUGCACCUUGAUCAGCUGUGUAUCUCUAUUAAUCACGAUCUCCCACAAAUUGAGUGUUCGCUGGUGAAGUCUGAGAGGUGCAUUAAUCUAUGGGUAUAACAUUGUAAUUCGGGUUCCACUGGAUUCAUCCACAAAGACAAACAGGAAGGGAUGCUUAAACUUCACAACAUAAACAGUUGACCAAUGAUGGGCUGCCGACAGUUAUGGCCAGGUGCUCCCCAGUGCUCGCAUGAUUCCUCUUCUGAUCUAUGGACUCCUUAGCUUGGCAUAUGGCACCUGUCUCAUUUUUACAAAGCAUUCGUGCAAAUGCCGAGGAGAUGGUUCGGUGGGUAACUGCUUGCAUAGAAAGCAAGAGGACUUGAGUUUGGAUUCCCGGCACCCAUAAAAAGAGAGAAUAUUUCAUAAGACAGAUACAACAGAUGAAUGAUGGAAAAUGAAGAAGAGGAGUAAACAGACACUAAUUUUAUUUAGUCAUAAAGAGAAUGAAAUUGGUCUGCAGUCAUACCACCCUGAACGCGCCUGAUCUUGUCUGAUCUCGGAAGCUAAGCAGGGUCGGUCCUGGUCAGUACUUGGAUGGGAGAAGAUGAAAUUGGUGGGCAAACUGAUGGAACUGAUUGGAGAGCAGUUCAUUAAGUGAGGCACCUUAGACUCUGAAAGAUGAACAGCGUAUGUUUUCUCUAAAGACUAGCUGCAUGUUAUACAUGUGGACUUAAGGGAAGCAUGGGGAGAGGGUACUAGAACACACGUGAUACAGUGUGUAGAAAAGUAGAGUGGAAUAGCACAGCUGGGAUGAGUGACGGGGGAAAAGGUGGGAGAGCUGGACUACCCAAAUUCACAUAUGGAAGCAAACGUCACGAGGAAACUUGCCACUCUAUACGCUAAUUAAAAAGUAAAGCAUAGCUCCAGUUAUCCCUUGCCCCUAGUGAGGUGACCUCACAGCUGCUUUUAUUAAGUGGUAAGUCUCCUUCCCUUCCCCUCCACAUACGCUGAUCCUGAGACUUGUGACUUGCCACGGGGAGUGACGGCGAUACAAGGUGUGGCUUCUGGCCCAAGAAGUCUUGGAGCUCCCACUUCCAUCCUUGCAAAGAGUCUUAGUCUGGAUUAGCAAGUGACAAAAGGCAGGCUGAGAACGCCAAGUAGACAGACGGGUGAUGUGGAGAACGACCCUAGAACGGCAGCCCCACAGCUGUGAGAGCACCUUCUCAGAUCCCCCAGCCCUUGCGAUGAGACCCCACUAACACUCCAUGAAGCAAGAGAUGAGACAUGUCCUAUGAACCCUGCUCACAUUCCUGACCUGCAAAGUUGUGAGUAACACAGAACAGGCUGUUUUGAGCUCCCGAGUACUGGAAUGGAUCUGCAUGCAGCAAUACUUGGUGCAACUCUUUUACUCUCUCUGACCUCGCAUGUCUUUCAGGGAGAGAAUCAUACCUAAUGCAUUGUUUUGGUGUUUCUUCACAGAGUAAUCUCCUGGUUACACAAGAGCUGUAACUGAAUUAAUUCCACCUUGUAUGUCUCGAGAAAAAUAUCUCAAGAUUAAGUCCGAUAAAGUUCUGCAACUGUCAGUGUGAUUUUGAAAGGCAGCGUUGUUACGACUUGACAUUUGAAUUCAUGGCAUUGUACAAAUCACUAGAUCACACAAGUCUGUGGUGCCAUUGAUCAAGUCUCUAAACCUGUCUCAACUCUACCCAAAAUGGGUAAAAUCGUAGUCCUGUGGCCAAACCCCAGAGAGAGCCACUAUGACAAUAGAGGCUCGAAGUGGAUACGAAUAAAAGCAACAGAGGAAUGAAGAGAAUGGGAAUGCAACCACUUCAGACCUUAAGGCAGCUUCACGAACCUGUUCUAAAGCAAUAAAAGUAGCAUGAGAGUUACAACAUAUAUCCCACUAAGCUCCUUACUGUCUAUAAUAAUAAAAAAAGAGGUGGAGCAAACAAGUAUCAAAUGACACUUAGAGCAAAAUGUCACUAACACACCAAAUAAUAUCCAUGGCUUUUAUGAUGAUUAAAAUAAAGGAAGACAUUUUUUGAAUAAAAUAUAUUUCAAAA